rnacentral:rRNA from 1 species
GCUGGGUAUCCGAGUCUGGUUAGGAUAAGCGCUGAAAGCAUCUAAGUGCGAAGCCAUCCGCAAGAUGAGAACUCCAUUGAGGGUCGUUGUAGACGACGACGUAGAUAGGCUGCAGGUGUAAAGACGGCGACGUCAAAGCCGAGCAGUACUAAUUGCCCGAGACUUUCUUUA